GCCGAGAUGGCGGAACUGGCAGACGCGCCUGACUCAAAAUCAGGUGGUGGCAACACCGUGCGGGUUCGAGUCCCGCUCUCGGCA
rnacentral:tRNA from 1 species